CAUAAAAACACAACAUAAUACUUGAAGCCCUCACUACUAACAUGCGCCGCCGUGCCUGGCGCACAAUAGAAAUGAGCCAUUCACAUCAUACUUUUACUAAUUCGCUUCCGCAGCUACCCUGCGUUGAAGUUGAACCCCCACUCCUUAAAUUAAAUGUCCCCAAAAUCCUAACAAUUAAAUAAAUGAACCCAAUUUCUGCCCACCCACCAUAUGUGCAAAUCCAAAAUGUCAGUCGACGCCACCCAGCCCAUCGCCACUCCUCGGCGCACCCCGCGCACCCCGCAAUUGGCUCAACCCACCGCCUCUUCCUUCGAGCCCUCAGCCUCCGACACCCUAAGCGGCCGCUACACUUCCACCUCAAGCUACAAGCUCUCCUCCCAGUCCCAAGCCUCCACCUCUUCAUCGUCAACCUCUCUCUCUACCCUCAAAGACUCCCUCCCCGUCCCCGAAAACCCAAUCCUCUACGACUACUCCGAGCUCUGCGCCGCCACCAACAACUUCCUCUCCAAGCGCUUCAACCCCACCCCCCCCUCCCCGCGUUAAGCUCUCCACCCCGGAGCUCAGGCAACGGCUCUCCACUCUCUGCCGCAGCCACCACACCUCCAUCACCAAGCUCCUCGGCGCCUGCGUCUCCAGCGACUACGCCUUCUUAGUCUACGAGUUCGUCAGCGGCGCCAGCCUGGCAGCCUGCCUCCGGAACCCGAACAACCCGAAUUACACGGUCCUGUCCACGUGGACCUUCCGGAUGCAGAUCGCCACGGAUCUCGCGCAGGGGCUGGACUACAUCCACAACAGCACGGGCCUCAACGUCAAUCUGGUCCACAACCACAUCAAAAGCGGCAGCGUUUUGGUCACCGAGCCCCAUUUCAACGCCCGCCUCUGCCAUUUCGGGGCGGCCCAGCUCUGCGGCGAGACCGAUUCGUACACCCAUCUCGACCCGAAUCCAAAAUCCCGAUCCGAAAUCGAGGUCGUCGAAGGCCCCGACCCGAAAUUGAACCGUACCAGCAGCCGGAAGAACCAGUUCGAAGGGGUGAGAGGGUACAUGUCGCCGGAGUUUCAGGCCUCCGGCGUCGCGACGCAGAAGUCUGACGUGUACGCAUUCGGCAUCGUGCUCUUGGAGCUCCUGUCGGGGCAAGAGCCUUUCAAGUACAGGUUUGAUAAAACGAUGGGUGAUUUUAUCAGAACCUCGGUGGUCGACUCGGCCCAGGCUGCGAUUCGGCAUGGUGGUCUGAGGACUUGGGUGGAUAGCAGGCUCAAGGAUUCGUUUCCCGUGGAAGUGGCUGAGAAGUUAACACGUUUGGCUCUGGAGUGCGUACACGUGGACCCGGAUCAACGGCCCAGCAUGGGACGCGUGUCGGGGAAAAUCUCCAAGCUAUAUUUGGAGUCGAAGUUUUGGUCCGACAACAUGAGAGUUCCUACCGGUAUUUCGGUCUCGCUCGGGCCGAGAUGAUCCUUGUCAUUUUGAUAAAACAACAAUUUUUAAUUUUUAAUUUUGUAAUUAGGGUUCGAAUUUGAGAGCGACAUAACUGGUUGUUUUUAUAUUUUUAUAAUAACAUAAGUGGUUAUUUGGAACA